CCUACGGGUGGCAGCAGUCGAGAAUCAUUCACAAUGGGGGAAACCCUGAUGGUGCGACGCCGCGUGGGGAAUGAAGGUCUUCGGAUUGUAAACCCCUGUCAUGUGGGAGCAAAUUAAAAAGAUAGUACCACAAGAGGAAGAAACGGCUAACUCUGUGCCAGCAGCCGCGGUAAGACAGAGGUCGCAAGCGUUGUUCGGAAUCACUGGGCGUAAAGCGUGCGGAGGCGGUUGCCGGACGUCGUGUGUGAACGGCGCGGUCUCAACCCGCGGACGGCAAAUGAGACUGCGAGACUCGGGUACUGGGUGUCGAACCUGACUUCUCGGUGUAGCAGUGAAAUGCGUAGAUAUCGAGAGGAACACUCGUGGCGGAGGCGGGUUCCUGGACAUUACCUGACGCUGAGGCACGACGGCCAGGGGAGCGAAAGGGAUUAGAUACCCCUGUAGUC
rnacentral:rRNA from 1 species